CCACUAGUGGUGCUUCCUGGGUCAAUUUUGCAGUGUGUUGCCCUGACAUUCAGCGUUUCCACACUCUGAAUGCUAACGCUGAACUUUCCCUUUAGAGAUGCACUGAUUCAAUGCAUCUCUACGAGGAGAUGCUGAUUUGCCAAGGCGGUGUUCCACUCCGUCCCCGCCUCCUUGGCAGAGAUUAUUAGAAUUGCCAAUCUCAGCCUAUCCAAUGCUUUCCUACGGGAAAGCAUUGUG